UUUCCAAAGGGAAGACCUUUAGAGAAAUAGAAGAAAACCGCGGAUCUGAGCAACCCAGCUUCCAUCAAAAACCAGAACACAGAAUAAGAACGAGGACUCCCUUAGGGAAAGGAAGCAGCGUCGUUUGCUGGCUUCUUCUUCCUCAUCAAAACGAAAAAAACUCAGCCGCCUCUUUUGCUUUUCUCUCGAUCGCACAAAUCUCCCUUCAUAUUACACUGCAUUUCUCUCAAACAUACAGUACCGAAAAGCUUUUGAGAAUUGAAAGUAGCUUAAAAUCUCAAUUGGAGAGUUGAGCCUUCAAAGAACUUUUUCAUCACUCGAAAAGCUCGAAAUUGGAGUGUUUAGCUGGGUUUUGGGUUUGGAUAUAACUCGAAAAGGGGAGUUGUUUGGUUGCUGUUGCUCCCAUGUUGCUAGCUGAGCUCCAAUUCUCUGUCUCAAUCGUUAUUUGGCUUCUUUGUCUUUUAAAUCUCGUCCUUGUGUAAUUAGGUACUUAUUUUGGCCUCAAAUGACUUAUGAAUGCGAGUCUGAUGUAUAGUCAAAUUGGAAGAAAAAUUGGAGUGCAAGCUGUAUUUUACCUUUGUUUAAAUACAAUGCAAUUUUGUAUUCAUUUGGACACUAUAACAUGUACAUUGAUAGGACUGUAUGGACUGUGACUUAACCGACUGUUAUAUGCUUUAGAACCAUAUAAAUACUCUGUUGAACAGUGUUAGGCUUAAUUCGUGUUAGUCCUGUUGUCAUGUUUGAUAAUCAAACUUAAAACAUGAUUUUAGUUU